GCUGGCGGCAGGCCUAACACAUGCAAGUCGAGCGCCCCUCCUUCAAGCGAGCUUGGAGGAUUGCGCGGCGGUGUCUUCGAACGGGCGUAAGCUCGUUUCGAGGGAAACCGUUUCGAAAUCAAGCGGACCGAAGGGCCCGCUUGAUGGAGGGGAGCGGCAGACGGGAGAGUAACACGUGGGAACGUACCCUUUGGUUCGGAACAACCCAGGGAAACUUGGGCUAAUACCGGAUAAGCCCUUACGGGGAAAGAUUCAUCGCCGAAGGAUCGGCCCGCGUCUGAUUAGCUAGUUGGUGGGGUAAUGGCCCACCAAGGCGACGAUCAGUAGCUGGUCUGAGAGGAUGAUCAGCCUCACUGGGACUGAGACACGGCCCAGACUCCUACGGGAGGCAGCAGUGGGGAAUAUUGGACAAUGGGCGCAAGCCUGAUCCAGCCAUGCCGCGUGGGUGAUGAAGGCCCUAGGGUUGUAAAGCCCUUUCGGCGGGGAAGAUAAUGACGGUACCCGCAGAA
rnacentral:rRNA from 1 species